rnacentral:rRNA from 1 species
UACGUAGGGUGCAAGCGUUAAUCGGAAUUACUGGGCGUAAAGCGUGCGCAGGCGGUGAUGUAAGACAGUUGCGAAAUCCCCGGGCUCAACCUGGGAACUGCAUCUGUGACUGCAUCGCUGGAGUGCGGCAGAGGGGGAUGGAAUUCCGCGUGUAGCAGUGAAAUGCGUAGAUAUGCGGAGGAACACCGAUGGCGAAGGCAAUCCCCGUGGGCCUGCACUGACGCUCAUGCACGAAAGCGUGGGGAGCAAACAGG